CUGAGGGGCGGUGCGAGGGGCGGCCUGAGGGGCAGCGAGGGGGACACCGGGGGCGGUGCAAGAGGCGGUGCAAGAGGCGGUGCAAGAGGCGGUGCAGGAAUCGGUGCAGGGGGUGGUGGCGGCCCCGCUCCGGCCCAGCCGCGCUUCCUGCAGCGCGGCGCGGGCGCCGCUUCCUGCUCCGCCCCGCGGCGCGCCGGGCGGGCGAGUCCGCCAUUGCCGCGCCGGCGGCCCUUUCAAACGCGGCAGCGGCGGCAGCGGGGGGUGACGAGGAGGGGAAGCCGCCGCCCCUCGCUGCGACCGGGCUGGGGCUGAAGCAGAGCGGGCAGCGGUGCCGUGUUGGCCUCGGUGCCGUGCUGGCCUCGGCGCCCUUCGUGCCACGCCGCAGCGCCCGGCAAGCGAGGGGUUCGCUCUUGUCUCGGUUGUUCAGGACGAAACGAGCCUGUUCUCCCUCCAUUCCCACUGCCCGACUCCUGCGAGCGGCUGAGCGGGACCGCGGGGACGGACGGGCAGCCCUGGCUCGGCUGGGGCGGCACAGCUGGCAGGGACAGAAGGCGAUUGAGAGGUGGCACAUUGCCGUGGUUUUCCCACGGAGCUGCUGCCCUUCCCAGGCGGCAGGCCUGACCGGCUUUGUACAGGAAGAGUUCCUGGAAAUCUACACUAGCUUCUCUGAGCAAAAGUGCCUGGGAGUUCUCCAAGGUUUUAACCUUGGGAGGAUUACAGUAAGUUGGAUUUAUAUUUGGUAGUACAACUUAGCUGACUUAUCUCUGCAGGAUAAAAACCUGGAGAGACAAAGAUUUCCAUACAAGUCCCUACCAUUGGUCUACAUGACAUCUUCCCCCCUUGUUGCUGACUGUAUGCUCACAUUUUGGUAUUUCUUUUCCUUAGAAUGUUAUUGCAGUGAAGGUAUCUUAAAAUGACAAGCAAAAUCAACCUGUU
rnacentral:lncRNA from 1 species